rnacentral:sRNA from 1 species
AUGUCCUUUUAAUUUUGUUUAGCAGAAUUGCUUUCAAGUUUUUGAUGAUUUUUUUUUUAUGUACCUGUUCUCAUUUUGAAUGAAGGAGUUAUUUAUAUUUAGUUAAUUUGCAAAAAGCAUUGCAAGCUUUAUUUACACCCAAUAUGUUUAAAUUUGCAUUUGCAUGUGUAUUUUAAUACAUGUAUAUAAAAAUAGCAAUGU